UCCCAAAGAGAUUCCAUCUCCAGGGGACAAAUCAUAUAUCCCAGAAUGUAGCUCCUUGAAAAAAUAUCUGGUAUUCCUGAGAAUAUUGUAGGUGAGCACAUGUGGCUUUUUUUGCUCUCCUUAUAAUUAUCAGUGU
rnacentral:snoRNA from 1 species